UACGUAGGUGGCAAGCGUUGUCCGGAGUUAUUGGGCGUAAAGCGCGCGCAGGCGGUGCGGUAAGUCUCUGGUGAAAGCGCUCGGCUUAACUGGGCGAGGGCCGGGGAGACUGCCACGCUGGAGGGGAGCAGAGGCGAGUGGAAUUCCGGGUGUAGUGGUGAAAUGCGUAGAGAUCCGGAGGAAGACCGGUGGCGAAGGCGGCCUGCUGGGCAGUUACUGACACUGAGGCGCGACAGCGUGGGGAGCAAACAGG
rnacentral:rRNA from 1 species